rnacentral:rRNA from 1 species
UACGUGGGGGCAAGCGUUGUUCGGAAUUCCUGGGCGUUAAGGGCUCGUAGGCGGCCAACUAAGUCCGACGUGAAAUCCCUCGGCUUAACCGGGGAACUGCAUCCGAUACUGGAUGGCUUGAAUCCGGGAGAGGGAUGCAGAAUUCCAGGUGUAGCGGUGAAAUGCGUAGAUAUCUGGAGGAAUACCGGUGGCGAAGGCGGCAUCCUGGACCGGCAUUGACGCUGAUGAGCGAAAGCUAGGGGAGCAAACGGG